AUACGUAGGGCGCGAGCGUUGUCCGGAAUUACUGGGCGUAAAGAGCUCGUAGGUGGUUUGUCGCGUCGUCUGUGAAAUUCCGGGGCUUAACUCCGGGCGUGCAGGCGAUACGGGCAUAACUUGAGUACUGUAGGGGAGACUGGAAUUCCUGGUGUAGCGGGGAAAUGCGCAGAUAUCAGGAGGAACACCGGUGGCGAAGGCGGGUCUCUGGGCAGUAACGGACGCUGAGGCGCGAAAGCAUGGGUAGCAAACAGGAUUAGAUCCCCUGGUAGUCCAUGCCGUAAACGGUGGGCGCUAGGUGUAGGGGUCUUCCACGACUUCUGUGCCGUAGCUAACGCAUUAAGCGCCCCGCCUGGGGAGUACGGCCGCAAGGCUAAAACUCAAAGGAAUUGACGGGG
rnacentral:rRNA from 1 species